CUUGGUCAUUUAGAGGAAGUAAAAGUCGUAACAAGGUUUCCGUAGGUGAACCUGCGGAGGGAUCAUUACCAGAGUGCCCUAGGCUCUCCAACCCAUUGUGAACAUACCUAUCGUUCCCUCGGCGGGCUCAGCGCGCGGUGCCUCCGGGCUCCGGGCGUCCGCCGGGGACAACCAAACCCUGAUUUUAUCGUGUAUCUCUGAGGGGCGAAAGCCCGAAAACAAAAUAAAUCAAAACUUUCAACAACGGAUCUCUUGGCUCUGGCAUCGAUGAAGAACGCAGC
rnacentral:rRNA from 1 species